rnacentral:rRNA from 1 species
AGCGAACGCUGGCGGCAGGCCUAACACAUGCAAGUCGAACGAACCUUUCGGGGUUAGUGGCGGACGGGUGAGUAAUACGUGGGAACGUGCCUUUAGGUUCGGAAUAACUCAGGGAAACUUGUGCUAAUACCGAAUGUGCCCUUCGGGUGAAAGAUUAAUCGCCUUUAGAGCGGCCCGCGUCUGAUUAGCUAGUUGGUUGAGGUAAUGGCUCACCAAGGCGACGAUCAGUAGCUGGUCUGAGAGGAUGAUCAGCCACAUUGGGACUGAGACACGGCCCAAACUCCUACGGGAGGCAGCAGUGGGGAAUCUUGCGCAGUGGGCGAAAGCCUGACGCAGCCAUGCCGCGUGAAUGAUGAAGGUCUUAGGAUUGUAAAAUUCUUUCGCCGGGGACGAUAAUGACGGUACCCGGAGAAGAAGCCCCGGCUAACUUCGUG